rnacentral:rRNA from 1 species
AUUGAACGCUGGCGGCAGGCCUAACACAUGCAAGUCGAGCGGAGCGGCGGACGGGCGAGUAAUGCCUAGGAAUCUGCAUGUUAGUGGGGGAUAACGUCCGGAAACGGGAGCUAACACCGCAUACUAGCAGAUGAGCCUAGGUCGUAUUAGCUAGUGGGUGGGGUAAAGGCCUACCAAGGCGACGAGCCGUAACUGGUCUGAGCGUCUGAUCAGUCACACUGGAACUGAGACACGGUCCAGACUCCUACGGGAGGCAGCAGUGGGGAAUAUUGGACAAUGGGCGAAAGCCUGAUCCAGCCAUGCCGCGUGUGUGAAGAAGGUCUUCGGAUUGUAAAGCCCUUUAAGUGGGGAGGCGGUACCAACAGAAUAAGCACCGGCUAACUUCGUGCCAGCAGCCGCGGUAAUUC